ACAUUGUAAUACACGCACGGCCACUUGCACACUCGCUCUGCCUUUCUGACACAGACUCUCUACUUAGUGCGCUGGAGAGAGCACUGAGGCUCACACUAUCAGCAGUGCUUCUCAAUGGGGGGACGCAGCCAAGAGCAGACAGAGCAGUCAUUCCACUGGAGCCUUCCGCUGCAUGCGUGAGAAGGAGACGAGAAGUGAGGGGCUAAAUUAGCUCCCUGUCAUCACAACAUAGGAGUUCUACUGACGGAGAAGACACAGACACUGAAGGGAGGAGAGGAGGAGAAAAAAAAGAGAGACCUGCACGUAUGUGGCUGAUACAACACUGACAUGAUCAGCCUUCCCAUCCCUCAAAUCCUGUCCAGUUUGUGACACAAACCCCUGGGUGUUCUGCUUUUUUUUUCUUCUUUUCUUUUUUUUUUUUUUUUUGGUGACUGUUUGUUUUGCCAGGGAUCUGAAAGGGAAACUGAGCAGCAGGGGUCCAGAGGAGGAGACUACUGAGUGAAAGAACAGCAUUUAACCCCUUUCGUGUGGUGUUCGCCUCAUCUGGAACUGGAAUUUUGGGUGGGAAUCCCUGACUUCAAAGUAUGGAUGCGUUUAAGAAUGAGGAGUGAGUCUGCUGGGGAGGCAGGCGGUAAUUCUGACUGAGCUCCUUUUUCUUCCUGAACACACUGCUCAGACCCGGCCUUACCAUGUCCUGGUUGUUGGCCAUGUGGAUUAGCCUCGGCUUCCUGCUGUUGUGCCAGGCCACACUCUACCAGACCAUCCAGCAGCACCAUGUGGCCCGGCCCGGCCGCACCGACAUCCUCACCCUGGAGGGAGGUACGUGUGAGGUGAUUGCCGCUCACCGGUGCUGUAACAAGAAUCGCAUUGAGGAGCGCUCACAGACAGUCAAGUGCUCCUGUUUACCUGGAAAAGUGGCUGGAACGACACGCAACAAACCCUCCUGUGUGGAUGCAUCCAUUGUAAUUGGAAAAUGGUGGUGUGAGAUGGAGCCAUGUCUGGAGGGAGAGGAGUGCAAGACUCUGCCUGACAACUCUGGAUGGAUGUGUUCCUCUGGGAACAAAAUCAAGACCACAAGGGUGAGAACUUACUUGCACUUCAACAUGAAUGCAACCACUUGGAUAUACAAGCGUGCACUGUCAAUUCACAGGUUCACAUGUUCUCGUAUGAUAUAUGCAUGAACCUGUUCUGUAUGUAUCAUUUUACACAUUGUAUUUUUGCACAGUAUGUGAUCAAAAUACCAAAAAAAAAAAAAACAGUUUGAUUUUUUUGCUGUUUAAUCUCUUAUCCUUGACUGGAAAUCAUCAAGACAGACUAAACAAUAAACCGUUUUGUGUACUUUGACUUGAAUAUGUAACAAAACUUCUGCACAAACUACCUGCUUCAUUUUUGAUUAAACAAACUCGCAUGGUGUGAAUAUAAAAGGGGUAUGUUCUGCGCUGAAUGAAAAGACCUAAAUAAGUCCAAAAGCACACAAAACAGUUCUACUCUCUUUUUGACAGCGUGGAUUCUAUUCAGUUUAAGGAACAAAUCUAAGGGCCCGUAGGAGUAAAGAAUGUACAUAAAGCAGACAGUAGACAAACAGGUGGGCUCUGCCUCAGGCCACACUACUCUCACAGAUAAAGUUAACAACCACUCUGCUUCUCCACUGCUUUUCAACUCUGUAAACUGACUCUGAAUAGGGCAUGCAAAAAUAAUGAAGAGAGUUACAGUCUCAAAGCCAGCAGUAUUGCUCUCUGUGACUGGUUUAUCACCUGAUUUUUUUUUUUUUUCCCAUUUAAUUGAGUUCCCAUCACCUGCCUCCAACAAAACCCCCCCCACAGCCCUGCGGUUUUCUGUACGUGCUUGGUGACGACGACUGUGAAUAGAGGCAAACUAAUUUGAUGGUCAGAAAACCAAGAGCUGCCAGUGAAGGUUAGACUACAGAGGGCUUCCCAAGGUUGUUCUAUAGAUUUAUACUCCAGCAAAUAGACAUACAAUCACUGGGCCCCUAACAGCCACCACAGAUCUAAAAUUUUCAGAAAGAAGUUGAUGGACUGGGGUCUUGCCAGCCUGUCAAGGUAAGAUGCAGUACUUGGUUCACUCUAAAGAAUGCAUCUCUAAUUCUAAAUUCAGACCUUUGCACAAUUAAAAGUAAGUAAACUUGAAAUGAUGAUGACUUCAUGUAAAUUUUUCUUAAGAUACAUCAGUCAAGAUUGUAAAUGUAUGCACACAAAUGGGAGGAAAGUUAUAUGUAUCUAUGAGUAAAAUGGUUUUGGUCAAAUAUUAUCACAGCCUUAAAAGAGGAUGGGUCAAAGGUUUAGGCCUGAAGCUGCUUUACUACCCAAUACACACAUGUCCUUUUUUCUCGACCCUCUCUUUGCAGAACACCCAGCCAUACUCCCCUUUUUAGCUUCCGGAAGCAAAAUGCAGAGGAUGCGUCAACAGAAAUUGAGCUGCAUUCUUGCUUCUGUAAAGAUUCAUCCCAGGACCUAACAGAGAGCUCCCAUUGCAGGGCUGCGUGCCAGACUCUUCCCCACAUCUACCCUUUUCUCUUCCCAAUGAACGGACUAAAACUAUUACAUCCACGGCUACCGACUGGAUUACCUGGGACCACAGAAAGGAUAUCCACCCAGAUAAAACAGCUUUGCUUGCGUGGUGCCAAGGAUUUGAAACCAGACUAAUCCCCUGUUUGAUCAAUGAGCCCCAUGUUGGUGACUCUCCUCUUCCACACAGCUGUGGCCAGUUUCUGAGCUACUAUCUCUCUGUUUCCCUCAAUCUGUUUCCCCUUCAAAACUGAAGCAGCUUUGCAGGGGUUGUUUAGAGGUUGUUUAAACAUUAUUUGAAGACAUUUGCCCCUUCCACUCAGAGGUAAAGCGUUGAGGAGAUUACAGGGGCCUGAACAUGUGAUCCACCAAUCUAAGGAAGGGGACCUUUUGUUUUGGUGCGGAAGGCAUUUGUAUUUGACUCAUGCUUCAACAGGAAGGCUGUGCUGUGACUACAUGGAGACUAUUUAGCUGAAGUUUCAGUGACAGCGACCACUAGCUGCCUAAUAUGAAUUAAUGAAGAAUUUUUGAGAGGUUUUAAGGUCCACUCUCCUGGACUCACCCUCAUUCUUCAUGAUGGACACUUCUAUUUGACUUUUAUUCGUGGGCAUGCCCAGUGUAAAUUCAUGAGCAUUUCUUUCCUUUGUAUGUAAGAGUUUGUGUAUAUAUACAUAUAUAAAUACAUUACAUGUGCAAUGACAGAACCACAAAGCUGAAAAAUCUAUUAAAGACUCUAUCUGGAGCUCGAAUCCCAAGGUGGAAUAUUGUUGAGCCCCUGACUAUAACACUUCUCCAGAGGCUCAAUACAGUGUGUAUAGGACUGCUUUGCAGUGUAUGCUUGCAUUGGAAAAAGCCACCGUGAAAUAAUAAAAAAUAAGUAUUGGUCACUUUUGUCAUUCAGAAAUGUUGCUGGUUAAACCACAAAAUGCUUGUAGUUUCUGUUAUGAUGAGGAAAACACUGUAUAGAAUUCCCUCACAAAAGGAAGCAGCACCAACAACAAAUCCUUUCCACUGAGAUUAAGUAGGGAUUUGGACAGUAUCAAGACAGUUAUCAUCUAUUUCUGCUCUUUAGGGUGGUCAUGGGUGGCUGUUGAUCAUGCAGAUCUCUAAUACAGCAGGAAGAGCGGAAGAGUGGGUGAUUUAUUCAGAAUGACAGUGAGAAAGUAUUAGUCACAAUGAAGAAAAAUACAGUUAUCCCCCAUUAGAUAUAAGUACAUUACAAGACAGCCUUAUGAGAAAUAAAAAUGGUUUUCUAUACUGA